GUGAAGACACAGCAACAUACCGAGCUAAAUGACAUCAAAGGAUACAGUCGACCCACCGAACACUCCCGUGUGUCCGUUGUAGGUGCCGAGUCGUACCACACGUUGGCCACCUGUGUGGGGAGACAUUGUUGAAGCUCCUGUGAGAAAAGUUUCAUAUUAUGCAUUCUGGACACAGGCAGCUGCUGCUGUCGUGGACCUGAAGUCACACUCUGACUGGUUCGUGGGGGACACUGUGUGUGUCCGGGAAAAAGGAGGAGACGGAUGAAAGCCUGAGUCACUGACUGGUGCAAUCUGUCCCAUCCCACACCAGCCAGAGUGUCCUGAAGACGAGUGACGUCAGAGCAUUCAUCCUCUGUCAGUGAUGGGCUCCCUGUGUGUGUGUGUGUGUGUGUGUGUGUCUGUGUGACAUCAAGGUGGCGUUUCUCUCUAACAGACAGAACACAGAAAUCCUGGUACCUACAGCACACCUGGAACCACAGCACUGUUUGAUAAAAGGAGAUCACUGAUUAUUCAUUUCACAAUAAAAGCUUUUCUGCAGCAGUUCAGAAGUGGGGUGAAAAGACUGUUGUACUUUUAUAUGAAGAGGUUUGUGGAAAUACUGCAUGCGUUUCCUUUGUUUGUGUUUGAACUGUAUUUGGAGUUCUUUAGAAGGUUUUUGUCUUUGUGCAUUUUAUAGCUUUAUUUGUUUGACACUGGGCAUUAUGGUAUGGUAUGCAAUGGUACGGUAAAUUAAAAAAAUAAAAACUUCUACAAGCAGUAAAGAUGCA